GAGCCUCUACACCAGGAAGAGGAUGGUCUCCUACACCAUCACCCUGGUCUUCCAGCACUACCAUGCCAAGUUCCUGGGCAGCCUGCGUGCCCGCCUGAUGCUUCUGCACCCCAGCCCCAACUGCAGCCUUCGGGCGGAGAGCCUGGUCCACGUGCACUUCAAGGAGGAGAUUGGUGUCGCUGAGCUCAUCCCCCUUGUGACCACCUACAUCAUCUUGUUUGCCUACAUCUACUUCUCCACGCGGAAGAUCGACAUGGUCAAGUCCAAGUGGGGGCUGGCCCUGGCUGCUGUGGUCACAGUGCUCAGCUCGCUGCUCAUGUCUGUGGGACUCUGCACACUCUUCGGCCUGACGCCCACCCUCAAUGGCGGGUAGGUCCCUAGCAGGCUCCACUGGGCCACAGGGUGGGCUCAGGCCAGAGAGCCUUGCACUUCUGGGUUCUUGGCCUUCCCUGGACUUUGCUGUGACCUCACGUCUUCACAUUGUUGUUUUUGACAUUUAAGAGGUACAUUUUCUUCCUCUUCUUUGUCCGGCUUGUAUUCAUACUUGUGUUUGUAUAUAGCAUAUCUAGCUAUAGUGAG
rnacentral:sRNA from 1 species